GCGGAUUAGGUUUCUCGAAGAAACCCCGAUCGAUUGUGGCCAGUUGCGACAUGGCGACGAUCGCGUUCCGACUCCUCUCUCGCCGGACUCUCACCAGCGCCAUAGGCAAGGCCGCCGAGCACCUUCCUCAGGGUCGUUGGUCGUGGCGGUCCUAUCUGCUUGGCUUCGACGACACGGCGAUGGCCGAGGCCAAAAGGCGGUUAGGCCACGCGUCGUACAUGAAGCUGCUGGAGAAAGAGCAGGCAGCUGUCGACCGGACCCUCGGCCGCUUGGUUUUUGGGUCGGCCGUGGUUUCCGUCGGAUUGCUCCUUGCCAAGAUUUAUCCACCUCCCCCAGCAAGCGGACAUACAAUUACCCCUACUUCAGACGGGGUGUAGGGAAGAGAUCCCGGUUUCAUUUGGAUAUAUGAAAUACUCCAAAGGAGUAA
rnacentral:rRNA from 1 species